UGAGGAAUAUUGGUCAAUGGACGAGAGUCUGAACCAGCCAAGUCGCGUGAAGGAAGACGGAUCUAUGGUUUGUAAACUUCUUUAGUGUGGGAACAAAGUGUGGUUGCGACCACAGAUGAGUGUACCACAAGAAUAAGCAUCGGCUAACUCCGUGCCAGCAGCCGCGGUAAUACGGAGGAUGCGAGCGUUAUCCGGAUUUAUUGGGUUUAAAGGGUGCGUAGGCUGUUUGUCAAGUCAGAGGUGAAAGGCCGCAGCUCAACUGUGGAAUUGCCUUUGAUACUGGCAGGCUUGAAUACUGUUGCCGUGGGAGGAAUGAGUAGUGUAGCGGUGAAAUGCAUAGAUAUUACUCAGAACACCGAUUGCGAAGGCAUCUCACGAAGCAGACAUUGACGCUGAGGCACGAAAGCGUGGGGAUCAAACAGGAUUAGAUACCCUGGUAGU
rnacentral:rRNA from 1 species